rnacentral:rRNA from 1 species
ACCACAACGGGCAGGUGAAGCAUGAGUGCAUGUGUUAGGACCUGAAAGAUGGUGAACUAUGCCUGGGCAGGGCGAAGCCAGGGGAAACUCUGGUGGAGGUCCAUAGUGGUCCUGAUGUGGAAAUUGGUUGUCUGACCCGGGUACAGGGACAAAAGACUAAUCGAACCAUCUAGCAGCUGGUUCUCUCCAAAGUUUCCCUCAGGAUAGCUGGCGCUCUCCCACGUUUGAAUCCAUGCGGAUUUAUCAGGUAAAGCGAAUGAUUAGAGGUCUUGGGGCCGAAACGAUCUCAACCUAUUCUCAAACUUUAAAUGGGUAAGAAGCCCGGCUUGCUGGCGUGCAGCUGGGCAUGGAAUGUGAGUGCCUAGUGGGCCCUUUUGGUAAGCAGAACUGGUGCUGAAGGAUGAACCAAUCUCUGGGUUAAGGCGUCCAAUGCCAAUGCUCAUCAGACUCCAGAAAAUGUGUUGGUUGAGAUAGACAGCAGGAUGUGGGCAUGGAAAUCAGAAUCCACUAAGGAGUGUGUAAUGACUCACCUGUGGAAUCAACCAGCCCUGAAAAUGGAUGGCGCUGGAGCCUCGGGCCCAUACCUGGUUGUUACUGGCCGUUAGUGAUAUACAUGUGAGAGACAGGAGUAGAUGGGGGGUCAAUUUCCCUUCCCUCCCUCAACCCCAACCCUGCAGAUGCUAUAUCAGGAUGAGUAGAGGGCUGCUGUGGUAAGCCUUGAAGCCUGGGGUGCGGGCCCGGGUGGAGCUGCCGCAGGUGCAGAUCUUGGUGGUAGUAGCAAAUAUUCAAAUGAGAACUUUGAAGGUCAAAGUAGAGAAGGGUUCCAUGUGAACAGCAAUUGAACAUGGGUCAGUCAGUCCUGAGAGAUGGGUGAGGCCCAUUCCGAAGGGACACGCGAUGGCCUCCAUUGCCCUCAGCCAAUAGAAAGGGAGUCUGGUUUACAUCCCCGUAUACAGAGCGCAGAGAUGAGACAUCCAGUGGCAGCCCCAUGGAGAGGUGUCUUUCCUUUGUGAAGGGCAAGGUGCCCUGGAGUGGGUUGUCCCUGAGAGAGGGCCCCGUGCCUUGGAAAGCAUCGUGGUUCUGGUGGUGUCCUGUGACCUCUCACUGGCCCUCGAAAAUCCAUGGGACAGGGUGUGAAUCUUGUGCCAGGCAUAUCCACAGUAGGUCUCCAAGGUGAACACCUCUGGCAUGUUGGUUGGCAAGCUGGAUCUGUAACUUUGGGACAAGGAUAGCCUUUAAGGGCUGGGUUGGCUGGGCUGAGUCAUAAAGUAGGGCUGGGUCUGUGUUGGCAUUGGCCCCACCCCAACGCCAGGGGUACCCCCACAUGGGCCCACACCUGCUCCCUCCUCUGGCCCUCCUCCCGUGGAUUCCCACCCCCUACCCCCUUCCCUUCCCUGGGUUGGGGUGAGGGGGCAGGGCGAUGGGACAGCAGGGCUCCUGCCAAGAGGAAGGUCCCUGCAGGGCCUGCAGGCCCACUGGGCCAGGGUACCUAUGGGGGCUGGUGGUGACGGCAACUCUGCAUGCAAGCUGGACACUUCCCGAGGAUUGCCUCAGUGGUGGCAAGGGUGUGGCCACACCGCAGAGCCCAAAGGGUGCCAGUAAUCCCCACUGGGCGAGGGGGGAGGGUUGGGCGGUGGGUAACAAGGUCCCCCCCAUCUUGCCCUGCCAUCUUCCCCCUCACCGUCACUGCAGUCAGCAUGCCUGUACCCCCCACCCAGGCUGGGUCCACCCCCAGCAGCGGUUCCUGGCAGCGCCUCACCUCGCCGGCGCCUAGCAGCAGACUUAGAACUAAUGCGGACCAGGGGAACCCGACUGUUUAAUUAAAACAAAGCAUCGCGAAGGCCCGCGGCGGGUGUUGAUGAGAUGUGAUUUCUGCCCAGUGCUCUGAAUGUCAAAGUGAAGAAAUUCAAUGAAGCGCGGGUAAACGGCAGGAGAAACUAUGACUCUCUUAAGGUAGCCAAAUGCCUUGUCAUCUAAUUAGUGCUGCGCAUGAAUGGAUGAACAAGAUUCCCACUGUCCUUACCUACUAUCCAGCGAAACCACAGCCAAGGGAACGGGCUUGGCGGAAUCAGCAGGGAAAGAAGACCCUGUUGAGCUUGACUCUAGUCUGGCAGGUGAAGAGACAUGAGAAUAAGUAGAAUAAGUGGGAGGUCCCCGGCGCCACCCCCCACCCCCGUGAAAGGUCUGGAUGGGGUCCUCCGGCCUUGCGGGCUGCCAGUGAAAUACCACUACUCUGAUCGUUUAUUCACUGACCCGGUGAGGCGGGGGUGGCAGGGGGCGAGCCCCGAGGGGCUUUUGCUUCUGCUGGCCGGCUGCAACCCACUCCGGGGACAGUGCCAGGUGGGGAGUUUCACUGGGGCAGUACAUGGUAACGCAAGUGUCCUAAGGUGAGCUCAGGGAGGACAGAAACUUCCCAUGGAGCAGAAGGGCAAAAGUUCGCUUGAUCUUGAUUUUCAGUACGAAUCCAGACCGUGAAAGCGGGGCCUCACGAUCCUUCUGACCUUUUGGGUUUUAAGCAGAAGCUGUCAGAAAAGUUACCACAGGCAUAACUGGCUUGUGGUGGCCAAGCGUUCAUAGCGACGUUGCUUUUAGAUCCUUCGAUGUCAGCUCUUCCUAUCCUUGUGAAGCAGAAUUCACCAAGUGUUGGAUUAUUCGCCCACUAAUAGGGAAUGUGAGCUAGGUUUAGACCGUCAUGAGUGAUAAAUGAAAAGCAAAAGGCUAUAUUGGAGUAUAUGAGGAAGCCAUUUGGUGUAAAACUAAUUCAGCCUGAACUUGUUUUUCCAAAAGGGCCUGACGUGGCCUGUAGAGUAUGCAUUGUAUAUCUGCUUUAAACAUUUACUAUGUCCCAAAGACAAGAAUGAUGCCCUUAUAGAUAGGGAUGUAGCUUCCUCCCAUAUCAGCAUUUCUUUAAGGAUGAGCAUCUGUUCCUGGAAACUAAGGCUUAAUUACUGACCUGCUGUGUUCACUUUGGGACCACUGACCUACUGACCACUGACCU